GUGCGCGUCGCCGACAUCGGGGUAACGCCCCGGAGUCUCAGCACGAGUUUCAGAGGCGGGACCAUGGCCACGGUGGGGCGGUGAAUAUAAUGAACAGCAGGUGCUGAUUUACAAAAUAUAAUAUAGACCGUUGUGGUUGAACAUCGACACAAAACGCUGGAGUAACUCAGCGGGUCGGGCAGCAUCUCUGCAGAAAAGAAAGACAGAAUACAAAAGAAAAAGAUGGCAUUUUAAAGAACUUCCGCAUUAAUUUGAACAGUUAAAUCAUUACUAUGAGACUGAAAGAUCAACCUCACAAAGCAUAUCUUCUGAAACAAAGUAGUCUGCUAUUUUUGUUUGAAAUAUUAACGUGUACAUUUAACCAGAAAGGAAACAAUAUAUCAUCACACUGAGAUCAAUUUCACAAAGAACACUUUUGAAACAAAGUAGUAUGUGCUAUUUUUUAUUUGAAAUAUUAAAAUAUUAACUUGUGGGCUUCUUAUCAGAAAGCCAACAAAAAGGAAAAUGUGAAUUCGUGUUUAAAGCUGUAUUUUUUUAAAAUUUUACGGCAGGGAUGUAUACGCCUUUAUUGUGUUUAAUUCAGAUCAAGUAAAUGCCAAAUUUUGUAACUGCAAUGUAGUUUGCUAGAAAAUGUCUAUUUUGUCAAUCUGACAUCCUGUUCCUUUGGUUUUCUAUGUGGCAAUGUUGUUGACCUUGGCGAAAUUAUCUCUGUGAUUAAAUAAAUAAUACACUUGUUGAAUCCAA